rnacentral:rRNA from 1 species
GGGCGAAACCUCCGCAAUGGGUAUAAGCCUGACGGGGGGAAGGGGAGUGCCUGGGGUUUUCCCCAGGCUUUUGGGGAGUGUAAAAAGCUCCCCGAAUAAGCGGUGGGCAAGAGGGGUGGCAGUCGCCACGGGAAUACCCCCGCCGCGAGCGGUGGCCUCGUUUAUUGGGCCUAAAGGGGCCGUAGCCGGGAUGGUGUGACCCCUGUGAAAUCCGUGGUAUUAAUACCACGGGCGUGCAGGGGUUACUGC